UCGUAAAGGUGCAUGAGUGGUGUUUGGUUUGUUACGUGUGGUUGGCUGCGGCGUUUGCAACAACUUCCAUGCUUUCAGACCUCUUCAUUUGUGCGGCAAGGCUUGUAUCGCCUUGAGCGUAUUGUGGGUUUUCUGUGUUGAAUACCUAAUCAAUGGUAUCGGUUGGAUUGAUCAAUGUUUCAUUUCGUCUGUCGUCGCAUUCGCGGCGUGAGAUGAACCUUGAUGCGGUCUCUUUGAUCCACCUUGUUGAAGCGUAUGCUUUGACGUUGUGGCGCAUUGAGCAUUGCUUGGUCUCUUGUAUGCGGAACAUGUAGUGGGCAUGAAUCUCACGAUUCUCGUUUGCCCUCAUAUUAGCGUAACGCUUCUCUUACACGACUUGCUCCACGUUUUAGCUCGUACGGACGUGGU
rnacentral:misc_RNA from 1 species